UGAAACAAUGAUUGUGUGUGUGUGUGUGUGUGUGUGUGUGUGUGUGUGUGUGUGUGUGUGUGUGUGUGUGUGUGUGUGUGUGUGUGCAUGCAUGCAUGUUUGUGUUUACAAAUGUUUUAAUGAAGGUUGAGGUUGGUUAAUAAAACCACAGUGCACAGAAUGUUCACUUAUAGAAAUAAAAACACAUGUCAGUGGGCAGUUUUUUUAAGACUCUAAUUAGUAAGAAAAAACUUAACAUAACAUAACAUCUCCUGCCGUUUAGGAGACCAAAGCAUGGUUGUUAUAUAUUCUGUAAAGCUAAUUACACCUCAUUGCUGCUGAAUUCUCUGGAUUGUUUUGCAGACAUUUCACAACAUUCAAUGUACCUGUAAAUGGAUAAAAAGUGGCAUAACAGGAAUAAAACACUUGGGCACAUGCUAUUGGAAUAUAUUCAGUUCCACAGUAGAUAAAGUAGAACCGGCAGAGUACAGGUGAUCAGAUUAGGGUGAACAACAAGGCUGCUGGAUUGUGUUGUUCUAGGAGACAUGACAGUUUUGUUAGGACCUGCUGUAGUGUUGUAGUAUUGUGAUAUUGUAGCAGAUGUAGCUGACUCAGUCACCAUGGUAACGUAUGUUCCCAUUGUAGUCGUGUUGUCCGUGGAAGUCACAGACGUUGGCCUCCAUGGAUUCACAGUGGUGCCAUUUGGUGUCAUCAUUGUGAUGGGGUCAUUUGCAGGUAUUGUGAUGGUUGAUAGCAUCACAUGAGUGGCAUUUACUGGCAGUGAGGUGGUAGAUGCUCUACGUGAAGUCAUCACUGUGGUGGUAGCGUUUAAAGGUACUGUAGAUGUUCUACGUGAAGUCAUCACUAAGGUGGUAGCAUUUAAAGGUACUGUAGAUGUUCUGUGUGAAGUCAUCACUGUGGUGGUAGCAUUUAAAGGUACUGUAGAUGUUCUACGUGAAGUCAUCACUGUGGUGGUAGCAUUUAAAGGUCCUGUAGAUGUUCUACGUGAAGUCAUCACUGUGGUGGUAGUGUUUAAAGGUACUGUAGAUGUUCUAUGUGAAGGCAUCACUGUGAUGGUAGUGUAUAAAGGUAUUGUAGAUGCUCUAUUUGAAGACAUUACAGGGGUGGCAUUUAGAGGUCUUAUGGUAGUGGUGACAUUCUUCACCAUUGGUCUUGUGGUGUUGUUUGAUGGAAAGAAAGUGGUGGCAUUUGAAGGCAUCUUUGUGAUUCUAGCAUUUGAAGGAACUGUAGAGGUAAGAUUCAUUAGUAUUGGAGUGGAGUUGUUCGAUGACAUCAAAAUGGUGGUAUUGGGUGGCAUCACUGUGAUUGUAGUAUUCAAGGUUAUCGUAGAUGUUCUAUUUGAAGAUGUCACAGUGAGGUUUAUAGGAACUGUAGUGGUGACACUCAUUACCCUUGGAGGGGUGUGGUUGUUUGGUGUCAUUGGGGUUGCAGUUGAUUGAGUUAUGUUAUUUGUGGUGCUGGUUUGUGAUGGCAUCAACAAGGUGGUGUUCAUUGGUCUUAUGAUUGUUCCAUUAGUCGUUGUGGAAUGGGUUGUUGCCUUUGUAGUUGAAAAGGUCUUUGUGUUUGUUACCUG
ensembl:lncRNA